rnacentral:rRNA from 1 species
CACGUAGGGGGCAAGCGUUGUCCGGAUUUAUUGGGCGUAAAGAGCUCGUAGGUGGUUCGGUAAGUCGGGUGUGAAACCUCCAGGCUCAACCUGGAGACGCCACCCGAUACUGCUGUGACUGGAGUCCGGUAGGGGAGCGUGGAAUUCCUGGUGUAGCGGUGAAAUGCGCAGAUAUCAGGAGGAACACCGGUGGCGAAGGCGGGUCUCUGGGCCGAAAUUGACGCUGAGGAGCGAAAGCGUGGGGAGCAAACAGG